GAUGAAGAACGUAGCGAAAUGCGAUAAGUAAUGUGAAUUGCAGAAUUCAGUGAAUCAUCGAAUCUUUGAACGCACAUUGCGCCCAUUAGUAUUCUAGUGGGCAUGCCUGUUCGAGCGUCAUUUAAACCUUCAAGCUAAGCUUGGUGUUGGGUGACUGUCCGCUUCACUGCGGACUCGCCUCAAAAUUAUUGGCGGCCGGUACAUUGGCUUCGAGCGCAGCAGAAACGCGAACUCGGGCCCGUCGUAUUGGCUCCCAGAAGCUAUCUUCACAAUUUUGACCUCGGAUCAGGUAGGGAUACCCGCUGAACUUAAGCAUAUCAAUAAGCGGAGGA
rnacentral:misc_RNA from 1 species